GUGGAUACAUCUCCACCACUAUCACUAGCAGGCCUACUGGACUGAGUGGAUACAUGUCCAUGUGUGGAGGUACUGGCUCCACCACUAUCACUAGCAGGUCUACUGGACUGACUGGACACAUCUCCACCACUAUCACUAGCAGGUCUACUGGACUGAGUGGAUACAUCUCCACCACUAUCACUAGCAGGUCUACUGGACUGAGUGGAUACAUCUCCACCACUAUCACUAGCAGGUCUACUGGACUGAGUGGAUACAUCCCCACCACUAUCACUAGCAGGUCUACUGGACUGAGUGGAUACAUCUCCACCACUAACACUAGCAGGUCUACUGGACUGAGUGGAUACAUCUCCACCACUAUCACUAGCAGGUCUACUGGACUGAGUGGAUACAUCUCCACCACUAUCACUAGCAGGUCUACUGGACUGAGUGGAUACAUCUCCACCACUAUCACUAGCAGGUCUACUGGACUGAGUGGAUACAUAUCCACCACUAUCACUAGCAGGCCUACUGGACUGAGUGGAUACAUCUCCAUGUGUGGAGGUACUGGCUCCACCACUAUCACUAGCAGGUCUACUGGACUGAGUGGAUACAUCUCCACCACUAUCACUAGCAGGCCUACUGGACUGAGUGGAUACAUCUCCACGUGUGGAGGUGCUGGCUCCACCACUAUCACUAGCAUGUCUACUUGACUGAGUGGAUACAUCUCCACGUGUGGAGGUGCUGGCUCCACCACUAUCACUAGCAGGCCUACUGGACUGAGUGGGUACUGGCUCCACCACUAUCACUAGCAGGUCUACUGGACUGACUGGACACAUCUCCACCACUAUCACUAGCAGGUCUACUGGACUGAGUGGAUACAUCUCCACCACUAUCACUAGCAGGUCUACUGGACUGAGUGGAUACAUCUCCACCACUAUCACUAGCAGGUCUACUGGACUGAGUGGAUACAUCCCCACCACUAUCACUAGCAGGUCUACUGGACUGAGUGGAUACAUCUCCACCACUAACACUAGCAGGUCUACUGGACUGAGUGGAUACAUCUCCACCACUAUCACUAGCAGGUCUACUGGACUGAGUGGAUACAUAUCCACCACUAUCACUAGCAGGCCUACUGGACUGAGUGGAUACAUCUCCAUGUGUGGAGGUACUGGCUCCACCACUAUCAC
rnacentral:lncRNA from 1 species